rnacentral:rRNA from 1 species
UACGUAGGGUGCAAGCGUUGUCCGGGUUUAUUGGGUUUAAAGGGUGCGUAGGUGGCUGAUUAAGUCAUGGGUGAAAGCCCGCAGCCCAACUGUGGAAUUGCCUGUGAUACUGAUUAGCUUGAGUGCGGUUGAGGCAGCUGGAAUUGGUGGUGUAGCGGUGAAAUGCAUAGAUACCACCAGGAACACCGAUUGCGAAGGCAGGUUGCUAAGCCGUAACUGACACUGAGGCACGAAAGCGUGGGGAGCAAACAGG